GUGUGUGAGAGAGAGAGAGAGAGAGAGAGAGAGAGAGAGAGAUUUUGUUUCUGCUUGCCUGCCUGCCUGCCUGCCUGCCUCUCUCUCUCUCUCUCUCUCCCUCCCUCCCCCUGCAAAC
rnacentral:miRNA from 1 species